rnacentral:rRNA from 1 species
GAUGAACGCUGGCGGCGUGCCUAAUACAUGCAAGUCGAGCGAACGGACGAGAAGCUUGCUUCUCUGAUGUUAGCGGCGGACGGGUGAGUAACACGUGGAUAACCUACCUAUAAGACUGGGAUAACUUCGGGAAACCGGAGCUAAUACCGGAUAAUAUUUUGAACCGCAUGGUUCAAAAGUGAAAGACGGUCUUGCUGUCACUUAUAGAUGGAUCCGCGCUGCAUUAGCUAGUUGGUAAGGUAACGGCUUACCAAGGCAACGAUGCAUAGCCGACCUGAGAGGGUGAUCGGCCACACUGGAACUGAGACACGGUCCAGACUCCUACGGGAGGCAGUAGUAGGGAAUCUUCCACAAUGGGCGAAAGCCUGACGGAGCAACGCCGCGUGAGUGAUGAAGGUCUUCGGAUCGUAAAACUCUGUUAUUAGGGAAGAACAUAUGUGUAAGUAACUGUGCACAUCUUGACGGUACCUAAUCAGAAAGCCACGGCUAACUACGUG